GGGAGUAGCUCAGUUGGCUAGAGCAUCAGCCUUCCAAGCUGAGGGUCGCGGGUUCGAAUCCCGUUUCCC
rnacentral:tRNA from 2 species